AAACAUCAUUGGCCUGUAAACUGAACACCAAGUCUCAUACAAUAAUUACAUUCAGUCAUCUUUGAUAUUUUGCUAAACUUCAGUUAUAUAGAAACCAUAUUAUUACACAGAAAAAUUGUAUUUUGUUGUUUUCAGAUGUUUAUGUACACAUUGGAGCUCAGGACAUAUUUUAUUCAACAGUUUGUUAGUUUGCAUUAUAACAUUUAAAUUUUAGACAGUUAGUGUGUGGACUGCCCUGUAUUCUCUUGCCUGGAGUCUCACCAAUGUCAAAGAUGGACCUGCCCAGUAGCUCUUCUUUCACCUUGAAGGUAACACAGGGCACCGGUUGAAAGCAAAGCCACAAGAAUCACUAAGUUAAGUCCAGUUCUGUCCUGCACAGCUGUGUGUCCUGGGGCAAGGCACUCUCUGCUCAGAGCCUCACUUUCCCCACCUGUAAAAUGGAGCUGAUAGAAGAUACUUUGUCGGGAUACAGGGACAUUGGUGGACGCUAAUGGAGUCCUGCUUCUCUUUAGAGGUUGAAGAGCCAUCUCUGCCCAGAACAUUUCCAGCUUGGGUUUUUCAACAACCCACGGAGCUCUCCUGCCUUGAACUUGAAUCAUGCUGGAGUUUCGAGAGAGCAGUUACAUGUCCAUUUCCUUCAAUUAUCAGUGAAAGAUAAAGUGCCCUGGCUCUCGGCCCCAGAUGCCACCUGGCCUGGCCCAUCUAGGGUUUCCAUUAUGAGCCAAGGUAGAAAAACCGGGCCUGCAGGUUUAUUCUCUGUCCCUGGCCCUCUAACUAAUAGGACUUCAGCCACUCUCUUGAGCAUAAAGCUUUCUCUCCGGGCAAAGCCAACCAAUUUGAAUGGCACUCACGGCUCAUGUCUGUAUGUCAUGAGCUCCUGAGUACUCCAAGGGGCCAGAGCAAUAAAUCUAUUAGGUCUCCUUUGUCCCAUCUUGUCGUGAACUUCUAAGAAAAAGGCACUAAGAGGAUCAGUACCCAGAAAACCUUCAUAAUUGUGGCUUCUACACGGCGAAUGAGGACAAUUACCAAGGCAACCGGCCAAUCAUUCUGGUUAAGGGCAGAGAGAGUUUAGUCAAGAAGAGGCUCUUGCGAACUGUAUUGCGCUGUAAUCAGAGUAACCAACAUUUUAAAAGGCCCUUGUGCAAAAACAGGAGGGAUGGCAGGGAAGGGAAAAAGAAGAGGGGGGUAAAUUAAUUUCCUCUCAUUUCCUGCCUGGUCCAUUGAUUGCGGUCCAAAGGCAAGAUGAUCUGCUGUACUCUUGCACCUGGGGCCACGGGAGCUGGCAGAGGAGCCGACAAUGUUGUCUAUCUUAUGCCUGCAUCUAUUUAUUUAUCUUCCCCUCUAGGCUCAGCAUCUGUAGCAGAGAUCUCAUGAAGAGUGAAAAAGUAAACAUCUUUAAGGACAGUAUAGAACCUCUUAAAUUAUCUUAUAGUCCCUUGAGAAAUAACAACACAUCUGUCUUUA
ensembl:lncRNA novel transcript